AAUACGUUCCCGGGCCUUGUACACACCGCCCGUCAAGCCAUGGAAGCUGGGGGUACCUGAAGUCGGUGACCGCAAGGAGCUGCCUAGGGUAAAACUGGUAACUGGGGCU
rnacentral:rRNA from 1 species